GAUGAACGCUGGCGGCGUGCCUAAUACAUGCAAGUCGAGCGAACGGACGAGAAGCUUGCUUCUCUGAUGUUAGCGGCGGACGGGUGAGUAACACGUGGAUAACCUACCUAUAAGACUGGGAUAACUUCGGGAAACCGGAGCUAAUACCGGAUAAUAAUUUAAACCGCAUGGUUCAAAAGUGAAAGACGGUCUUGCUGUCACUUAUAGAUGGAUCCGCUCUGCAUUAGCUAGUUGGUAAGGUAACGGCUUACCAAGGCAACGAUGCAUAGCCGACCUGAGAGGGUGAUCCGCCACACUGGGACUGAGACACGGUCCAGACUCCUACGGGAGGCAGCAGGAGGGAAUCUUCCGCAAUGGGCGGAAGCCUGACGGAGCAACGGCGCGUGAGUGAUGAAGGUCUUCGGAUCGUAAAGCUCUGUUAUUAGGGAAGAACAUAUGUGUAAGUAACUGUGCACAUCUUGACGGUACCUAAUCAGAAAGCCACGGCUAACUACGUG
rnacentral:rRNA from 1 species